rnacentral:rRNA from 1 species
AACGAACGCUGCCGGCAGCCCUCACACAUGCAAGUCGAGCGCGCUUUCGGGUGAGCGGCGGACGGGUUAGUAACGCGUGGGAACGUGCCCUGAUCUACGGAAUAGCCACUGGAAACGGUGAGUAAUACCGUAUACGCCCGUAGGGGGAAAGAUUUAUCGGCUUUGGAUCGGCCCGCGUUAGAUUAGGUAGUUGGUGGGGUAACGGCCUACCAAGCCUACGAUCUAUAGCUGGUUUUAGAGGAUGAUCAGCAACACUGGGACUGAGACACGGCCCAGACUCCUACGGGAGGCAGCAGUGGGGAAUCUUGGACAAUGGGGGCAACCCUGAUCCAGCCAUGCCGCGUGAGUGAAGAAGGCCCUAGGGUCGUAAAACUCUUUCGCCUGUGAUGAUAAUGACAGUAGCAGGUAAAGAAACCCCGGCUAACUCCGUG